CCAGUACAAAUAAAAUAUUUAAUUCCUCCAAAAAACUCAAAGUGAUAAAAUAAAUUGGUUUGGGUGGAAUAUUAUUGCACAUAGAAUGAGGUUAUUAAUAUAUUUACAUGUCAACAGGUAUCAAUGGCUUGGCCAUGGGUGCGUGUCUAUUUUCUCUCAAAGGAGGCACACCUGGACAACUACGUGUUGGAAAACCAUGCUUCAACUACGUAUAUAAAAGAGAGCGAUCAUGUGAAAGAUAGCAAGAAAGAUUAUACCUCAACAAAUAUUUCCAAGAACCAAUUGCUCGAGCAUCGCAAAGAUUCAAAAAACUUUAGCCACUGCCUGUUUGAUUUUCGUAUAAACAUUAAACAGGAUCAAACAAACAUUUCUUAUGAUUUUCUUUUCACCCAAAUAAUAUGUGGAAACAAGAUCAACAAAUAAAUACCAGAGAAGACUGAAGAGAUUUCCAGAUAGGGUUCCCGGAGAAAAGAUUUCCAGCAAGGAAGCAACAGUCGUGAAGAAGAGAUUCCCGGAGAAGAUUAAGGAUGGUCGGGGACGACGGGGAGAAGAUUUAUGAAAACUGUAAAUGGGUCGUGGGGGUGAG
rnacentral:lncRNA from 1 species